rnacentral:rRNA from 1 species
CUACGGGACGCUGCAGUGAGGAAUAUUGCACAAUGGGGGGAACCCUGAUGUAGCAACGCCGCGUGGAGGAUGACGCAUUUCGGUGUGUAAACUCCUUUUAUAUGUCAAGAAAAUGACGGUGGCAUAUGAAUAAGCACCGGCUAACUCCGUGCCAGCAGCCGCGGUAAUACGGAGGGUGCAAGCGUUACUCGGAAUCACUGGGCGUAAAGGACGCGUAGGCGGGUUGGAAAGUCAGGUGUGAAAUCAUACAGCUUAACUGUAGAACUGCACUUGAAACUUCUAAUCUAGAGUAUGGGAGGGGGAGAUGGAAUUAGUGGUGUAGGGGUAAAAUCCGUAGAUAUCACUAGGAAUACCUAAAGCGAAGGCGAUCUCCUGGAACAUUACUGACGCUAAGGCGUGAAAGCGUGGGGAGCAAACAGGAUUAGAUACCCCCGUAGUC